CAAGAGCUCAAAUUUGAAAGCUGGCUCCUUCGGAGUCCGCAUUGUAAUUUGCAGAGGAUGCUUUGGGUGCGGCCCCCGUCUAAGUGCCCUGGAACGGGCCGUCAGAGAGGGUGAGAAUCCCGUCUUGGGCGGGGUGUCCGUGCCCGUGUAAAGCUCCUUCGACGAGUCGAGUUGUUUGGGAAUGCAGCUCUAAAUGGGUGGUAAAUUUCAUCUAAAGCUAAAUACUGGCCGGAGACCGAUAGCGCACAAGUAGAGUGAUCGAAAGAUGAAAAGCACUUUGAAAAGAGAGUUAAACAGCACGUGAAAUUGUUGAAAGGGAAGCGCUUGCGACCAGACUCGCCCGCGGGGUUCAGCCGGCAUUCGUGCCGGUGUACUUCCCCGUGGGCGGGCCAGCGUCGGUUUGGGCGGCCGGUCAAAGGCCCCUGGAAUGUAGUACCCUCCGGGGUACCUUAUAGCCAGGGGUGCAAUGCGGCCAGCCUGGACCGAGGAACGCGCUUCGGCACGGACGCUGGCAUAAUGGUCGUAAACGACCCGUCUUGA
rnacentral:rRNA from 1 species